ACGCGGGUUGUUACGACGCCGACGACGCGCUUUUCCCAACGGAUCCCGAAUCCAAAUAAGGACUCGUUACAACGCAGGGCCGUCCUCCUCGGGUGCUUUUCACCUAAAUGAAGGUACCAAUAGAUGAUGGUACGCGUCCAGUUUACGCUUUCCUCCCUUUUUUAACUACCGUACUAUUGCUUUUUUCUUUUUCCUUUCUUUUUUCCUUUUUUCUUGUCGUUCUUUCGCUGUUCUUUCUUUGUUUGUUUCCUUGCUUUUAAAAGUACUUCUUCUUCUGUAAAAGAAAAGAAAAAGAUGUAAAGAACAAUAUUUAAAGUAGGUUACGUUGUGAAAUUCAGUCAAAGUCAUGUGUCUUCGUCAAAAUAAAAUAUCAUUUAUCUUUUACGUAAUCAUAUAUUCCACUCAUACCUAUUAAACGAUUUUAUACAAGAAUGAAUCUCGAGUAAUUUAUAUUUACAUAAAAAAUCAUGUCGUAUUAGUUAUUGUAUAAUGGCCUAACACAGAUGAUAAAGAUGAUAUAAAUGUAAGAUAAGACAAGUAGUUCGUAAAACAUAUUUGAAAUAGAAAUAUUUGAGAGAAUAUUGAUUGUAUAUGGAAAGACAAUAAUCUUCUAAAUAAUAAAAAUAACCAUUUUUUAUUUAGUAUUAUUAAAAUGUACGGGGCGACGAGAAUUACUCGAUCCAUCAUCGAGCUCUCUCCCCACUUUACCAUUUUGUAGUAGCAUCGAUGUUGGCUGUCGAUUUGUCGGACAGAUUCGCCGAGUUUGCAUUACUGAGUUUUAAUCUCGAAACGGCGCGUCUUUGUUAGUUGAUAAUGUUCUUUUAAUGGUGCUCCCUUUGCAUACGUUACGGUAACUAACUUAAAAAAAAUUAUUAUGAAAAAAUGGGUGCAAAUUGAUCAUCAUUCCGUUAUAUGCGAACAAGCAUACGAGGAUGAAUAUCUCCUGAGAUUAAAAUUAAAUCAUUAACGACGUUCUCUUUCGUUAGCACUUUCGUGUCAGUAAUAAAGCUUACAUAUGAAACAAUUGUUCCUUGAUAAUUCGAUUACGAUAGAUAAAAUAUUCGUGAGAGAGUUACAAUAUAACGUUAGAAUGUAAAUUCUGUACAUAUACGUAUCUUCUACGUAUCUUAUUUCACUAUGCAAAGUUCGAAUGUAAAAUGACAUCAAUAUCGGAUGAUAAAAGUUAGCCAAUGCAUCCGAAUGUUACCUUCUUCGUCAAAUAUGCAUACAACGACUAAAAUGUUACCUGGAUUUUCAUUUCCACUGGGCAUUGGCUGAUGGAUCAUUGUUAACCACAUCGGUGAAAGAUUUGGUGCAUCAUUAAGGACGUGGUAAUUUAAAAAAAAUCAUUACUGACUCAUUGUCCGGUGUACAGCAGUGUUUAUGCAUGAUCGUUAGAUUGAAUUCUCCCUUGGGUAGAUAGCCAAUUAUAUCAUCUUCCUUGUAAAUUAUCCAUAUCUAUAUACAUAUGUAGAAUUAGUUGGUUCUAAUAUGUAAAUAUUUAAUUAUACGUAAACUAGACUACUUUUAAUAAAUCCGUUUUAUAUACGGUUCCUUUAGCCAAAUGUUUUUCCACUUACCUUGUACUUGAACUUCUAAUAUUUGUGAAUAUUAAUUUUCUUUAAUUGUCAUCGUCCAAUUAGUUUUCUUCUAAUGCAUAUAAACCAAAAACUGACAUAUGAAAAUGGUAGCGGUAUAGUAUAGGUACAAAGGCAAAUCAUCCCAGUAAUUAUUGCACGAACUUUAUAUCUUUCGGUCUAUGAUUCCGAAUGUUUGCAUGACAAAAGUUAUAAAAAGCAUAAAAAUUAUUAGACAGUUAAAUAUAAUACAUUUUCCUCAAAGAGAUCGCUGAAUAUAUUGUAUAAAAUGAGAUGUAAAAGAUGAAUUUGUUUUUCUACUAGUAAAUCCAGAUUUCAUUACGUAUAUCAAUCAUAUUUAAAAAAUCAUGAAUAAAAUUUAUCUUAUUUAAAUGUUAUAAUUCCAGAAUAUUAUCAAAACGAUUAAUGAAACGAUGACUUAAUAUAAUAUGCGUGCGAGUAAUGCGUAUAAAGGGUAACAAAUGAAAGAUUACUAGUUACACCGCUGUGAAAAUAUAAGUCUGAUUUAUUCCAUAGAGAUAGAGAUGUAGAAAUUGUGUGUGUAUAUACAUAUAUAUGUGUAUAUAUGUAUAUUAAGUAUGUGUAUACAUAUUCACACACACACACACACACAUAAUAUGACGGUUAUAU